rnacentral:rRNA from 1 species
CCUACGGGUGGCAGCAGUGGGGAAUAUUGGACAAUGGGCGAAAGCCUGAUCCAGCCAUGCCGCGUGUGUGAAGAAGGCCUUCGGGUUGUAAAGCACUUUCAGUGGGGAAGAAAGCCUUGGGGCUAAUACCCUCGAGGAAGGACAUCACCCACAGAAGAAGCACCGGCUAACUCCGUGCCAGCAGCCGCGGUAAUACGGAGGGUGCGAGCGUUAAUCGGAAUUACUGGGCGUAAAGCGCGCGUAGGCGGUCUGAUAAGCCGGUUGGGAAAUCCCCGGGCUCAACCUGGGAACGGCAUCCGAAACUGUCAGGCUAGAGUGCAGGAGAGGAAGGUAGAAUUCCCGGUGUAGCGGUGAAAUGCGUAGAGAUCGGGAGGAAUACCAGUGGCGAAGGCGGCCUUCUGGACUGACACUGACGCUGAGGUGCGAAAGCGUGGGUAGCAAACAGGAUUAGAUACCCUAGUAGUC